rnacentral:rRNA from 1 species
AUGAACGCUGGCGGCGUGCCUCAUACAUGCAAGUCGAGCGAACAGACGAGGAGCUUGCUCCUCUGACGUUAGCGGCGGACGGGUGAGUAACACGUGGAUAACCUACCUAUAAGACUGGGAUAACUUCGGGAAACCGGAGCUAAUACCGGAUAAUAUAUUGAACCGCAUGGUUCAAUAGUGAAAGACGGUUUUGCUGUCACUUAUAGAUGGAUCCGCGCCGCAUUAGCUAGUUGGUAAGGUAACGGCUUACCAAGGCAACGAUGCGUAGCCGACCUGAGAGGGUGAUCGGCCACACUGGAACUGAGACACGGUCCAGACUCCUACGGGAGGCAGCAGUAGGGAAUCUUCCGCAAUGGGCGAAAGCCUGACGGAGCAACGCCGCGUGAGUGAUGAAGGUCUUCGGAUCGUAAAACUCUGUUAUUAGGGAAGAACAAAUGUGCAAGUAACUAUGCACGUCUUGACGGUACCUAAUCAGAAAGCCACGGCUAACUACGUG